UUCCCCCUUUCUUUUCGGGGCGGAGCCGCCCCGCCCCUGCUUCUCUCACUCUGCCCAUGGUUGGGUGAGUUUUCCACCGGGCGGGGGAUGGAGCAGCCUUCACAUUCUGCUGCUCACCAUCAUCAUCAGCUGCUGCUCUGGUGCCCAUCCACAGACGAAACCUGCCUGAGUUCGUUGGCGCGGCUGCCACAUAUCCUCCAGAGCGUAGCUGAUGUAGGGUCCACUGCAGAUGGAGCACUCCAGCAUGACGGGGCUGCCCAGCAGGGGUGAGGCAUGAAUCCCCCAGGACUGACAACAUCCCAGAUGGACGUCUGACUCGGCGUCCUUCUGUUUGCCUGAGGUGUCACCAUGAUGGCGUCCCAGCAUCUUCCACUUCCUGACCUCUGCACUGGUGACACACUCCCCAGAGAACGAUCUCACCACGCACUCCUGAUGUUCUCCAUCAUGACAAUCAAGACCGAUCCUUCGUGGCAGCGUACGCAGCGGACAGGCAACAACGUCAAGGCAUGAACACAUACAGGACACACCAGGAAGUGUGGUGGGAAGAGCCUGAGUACGGAGGAAACCAAUAUGAUGUAACAAGGUAGACUGGAGCGGUUGAAAUAUAUCGUACAAACAUAACACACAGGUGUUGAGAACAGCACUGAUAGUAACACUGUGGCCUUCUAUCCUGGUGACCUCCUUUCCGCCUCGUCCGGCCUUUUCUUCACUGUCCUCCACCACCUCUCAGGGGUGCAAAACUCCACCUGCACGAGCUGGAUGUCCCUGCGUUAUGUCCCACAUACAGUACCUCUGAGCACAAAAAGGUAAUAAAUCUGGGUGAAAGCCGGGAAGUAAAUGCAGCGUAAUGAUGAGUACAACAGUGGGAAUUAAGGUACGAGCAGAUCUGUGGAGACUAAAGGAAGACAUAAAGAUAAACAAGAAGGAUGGCUUCACCUAAACCCCUCGUUUCUCAGAGAACUGCUCAUUAACAGUGGGGUCAGUGCUGGUUCCUCUCCCUUUCUUUCCCCUGAUUCUGUUCCUAGAUUGCCAAUGUGAGUCUUAAAAUGGAUGAGCCAAGUGUAAAAGUCUGACUAUAAAGGGAAAUAGAGGCCGAGAGCUAUUACAUUUAGGAGAUCCAGAUUGAAUACAAAAACCUCGUGCCUCCCAACGGAGGAAAAGUGUGAGAAAUGCUGAUAAGAUCCAACAAUAAAAUUGGGCAGAGAGUCGGCCUGCAAAAUAAAUAGGCAGUAUGUAAAUAGAAAGAGUGAAGGACACAGGGAAUUUGAGAACGGUGUUUUUGUUUCACAAAACAUUUUUCAGGUUAGUGACACUUAGGUUUAGAACCAUUUACCACCAACUAACUGCUCAUCUUUAUGUCCAAGACAGAGACAAGUUCUCUGAACCUGGACUUUCAGAUGAAACUGCUAAAUUCUCAUCGUCCACUGUUCCACAGCUAAUGCAAGUCAUCUCUCCGAUUAUAAAAAGACACUGUCCUCCUGCAUGGACUCGCUCAUUCCUCUCUGUUUUUCUUUUUUUUUUCUCAUGUCUACGAAUAGAACAUGAAUACAUCUGUGUGACACGGCUGUUAUUUACUCCCAGCAGGAACUAUUAUGGGGUGUGUUUUGUUCUCAUCUGUUCUGACACUAAAAUUCACCUCCUGACUCACUGGGGGAGUCGUAACAAUCUAUAACAACGUUCUACGGUGCACAAGCACACAUCGACUGAAGCGGCUAAAGUGAAAACAUCAGAUCAUUAGCACUAAAUAUGCGUGGACACCACUGGUCUGACUUUUGGGUAUUAGGUUAAAGAGGUUCAAAUGUACCGGCAUAAUCAAAUUUUAGUUUAUUUAUAACAGAGUCAGUUGAUUGGCAGAGUUAUAUGCAGUGAGUUGUUUUGAUUGUGUGGUUCAGAAUUACACUGUCAGUUAGCCUGCAAAUGUGAUUAAAAAAAAAGAAUUUUCCUAUUUUAGUCAAUGUGUUAAAACGAUGGAUGAAUCAAAGAGUAACACACAAAAAACACCUACCGAUCAGAUUACAGAUCAGCAGGAUGUUACAUCACACUGUUUUUUCCUCACUGUUGUGUGACAUACGUGUUGAUACCUGACUUAGCCUGUCUGCAGUCCAGUUCUGCCAUCUUUAAAACUGUCUGUUGUUGUUGUGUUUUUCUAGAAUGGAAUAUUGAAAACUGAUCAGUCUGUAAUACUCUUAGAUCUUUCAGUAAAAACACCAAAGCUGCUACGGUUAAAAUGACAGAUAAGGAGGAUGAAUCUGCUCUAAAACACAAAGGUCCAACAUGUUUUUAUCACAUAUUACUCAAGCUUCAUCAUCAUUAUGACUUUGUUUCCCUGCAUUUAUUUGAGCACUCAGAAACCACACAGUGUAACGUCAACCAUGACUGGAAACAUAAUGAGAGAAAAAACUAAUGGGUCUGAGUCUAUAGUGCAGUAACAAAAGACCGCCUCGGAGCGUCCUGUUGUCCACUCCUGUGAAUAAGCACACUGUUGCCGGAGUGGAAGCAGAUCAGGUCGACUUUGAGCUCAGUUGUCAGGUAUGUGCCACAAACCUGGAAACCACACAGAGCAGUGUGUACAGAGCUGAGGAUGUGAAUGGUGUAGAAAAAGAGCAGAGUCAUGGCGACGCUGAAGACAGAUUAGAAAAACAUCGUAAUCUCCGUAUCCCCCUGAACCUCAUAACGUAGUGAGUAGAGGAUAGAAAUACGGCACAAAUGUUGGUGCCAAAUUGUUAAAAAAUAUAAAAAUCAACUGCAUUCUUCCAGCAGCUUGAGUCCUUGCAUUUGGAACAAAAGCAGAAGUAAGGGUUAGUCAUUUUCCACUCCGUGGCGUAUAUUUGCUGAGCACACGCUCUGAUCACAGGUCAGGUCCUUGGUGUAACACUCUGCUGAAAGUGUGUUACACUGACAAAGAUGAUGGUGAAAAAAAAGUGUUGAGUUUGUAAAGCAUUACCAGACACAGUUUUAAUGGAGAGAUUGGAUUAUAACACAUAUACUUAAUUGGCAGACAGUGAGCGGCUCAGGGGAUCCUGAGGAUUUGAAUGGAGACCAUGUGUUUGAACAGAGCUCCAUAUCUAUUAGCUAACCUAUGUCAAACAGCAGAACCAGAGACUUUAUUGGUAUUGGUGCCAGCCACUCCUCUGCUGAGGGACUGUAAAUCCCUCCCUGCUUUUUGUUAUCAAAUAUAAUUGGAUCUUGUGAGUUUGUGUUAUUCCCAGUGCUGGUUAAAACUGGCCUGACAGUAAUGUGAGUUGUGUGAGAUGCAGCUAAUGUUUUGUUCUUCUAGGCUGUGUUAUAUGUUUGGUCAGAGAAAUUAAAACGUACCAGUGACCCACUAGGGCAGCAGAGUAUUUAGGGCGUGCAAGAAAGUUUCAGUAGCCUGGAUUAGUAGAAAAAGUAAACUGUUUCAUCCACAACGACUGAAAGCACUUCAGUUUGAGGAUUUCUACUCUCUGCCCUGACUCCUCUCAUCAGAUAAGCCCAGAUAGAUACACUUGUUUUUUUCUUACCCGACAGAUAACCUAGAGCAAUCUUCCUGGACUUUUCUGAUAUUGAUGGCUCUGUGUAAGAAUCUUUUCUUCAGGUUUCUCAGCAAUAUUGUAGCUGCCACUGAAGGGUCAUGUAAUGAGACCAAAGCUUCACUCCUUUUAUUUCUUUCUAAACUUUCUCAAAAAAAGACUGGUGGAUGUCUUUAGAACUGCAGCAAAAGCAUUCUUACUUCCUUAAAAAAGAGGAAGAUUUCACAAGAUAGAUAAAAGUUGGUGUGUAAUUGUAUUUUUUUAUACAGUAUAAAGUAUCAUCUUUUCUGACAUGCAGAUCAUCAGUACUGCAUAUAUUUUCCCCACAGGGUCCACAGUUCAGAUGUGAAAUAGAUGUCAGCAGUCCAGAGUUCACAGCCGUGUCUUGAAACGUCAGAAUAAUGUCAGUUAAAGGUCACCCAGUAAUGCAGUGUGAUGAUCUUUAACUAUGACACGCAAGUCAUUAACCAUUAGCUCUGAACUGUGUCUAAGAAAGGCCACCUCUCAGAUAAGACGAUUUCACCGACCAAAGUCCAGAGUGAAUGUAAUCGCUGCAGUUAGAGAGGAACAGUAUAUGGGUAAAAUGCUGACUAAAAGACUCACUUAACAGAUUUUUUUUUUAGUGACCAACCACCACUGCCUAUUCAGGGUUUCAUCAUUAGCACAAACACCAUGUUUAGGAACAAAGCUUCAGCCUUGGCAUCAGCCGAGGUGGAUUUGUCACGGGUCGUGUCACUUCUUUAUUUCUCCACACUGCGUGAAGAGCCAAAGAGCGCGGCCAACAGACGUUCACGUCACAUGUGACGUCCCACUGAUGCACUGAGUUGGCAUCUAUUAGAGUCAGGAUAAAGGUGCAGCAUGACCACACUUUUAGCUCUUGCUGACUCCAACAAAACAUUAACAAGAUGAGCGAACACUCACGGACAGAUGAGCUGAGAGCCAGCCCCAACCCCCACUUCUGAUUCCAAACUUAUUCCUAAUGAAUUCAGAUGCUUUCUGGCCGUUUACUUUCUGUUGCUUCUUUUUUUUUUCUCUCAAAUCUAAUCAGUAGUCAGCCACAUCUCUCAGGCUGCAGGGGGAAUAAAAUAAAAUUACUUCUUGGACACACUUGGCUUCUCCCAUCUCCUUAUAUUUCUGAACUCACUUUCUGCACAGCCUCAGUUUCUCCCUUCUUACUUUGUUCUUUCCUCUCUUCCUCCUUCCACCUACUUCACUUGCGUCCCGCUCGGAUGGGUUUUAAACAGUAAACACAAUUAAGGAGAAGAGAAGGUCAGUGUGGCCUGAGUCAACAUGUUGUUCUAUCUAAUACCUAACACAGAAUGAUUAACACCGUCACCUGAUCUAUUUAGAACAGACUGUGAGGAAAUGUGAUGUUUCAUUUCUCCUGAGAGGCUGAUGCGUAAAAAAAAAAUGAAAUAUUGAACAAGUUU